rnacentral:rRNA from 1 species
GAUGAACGCUGGCGGCGUGCCUAAUACAUGCGAGUCGAGCGAACAGACGAGGAGUUUGCUCCUCUUACGUUAGCGGCGGACGGGUGAGUAAUACGUGGCUAACCUACCUAUAAGACUGGGAUAACUUCGGAAAACCGGAGCUAAUACCGGAUAAUAUAUCGAACCGCAUGGUUCAAUAGUGAAAGACGGUUUGUAUGUCACUUAUAGAUGAAUCCGCGCCGCAUUAGCUAGUUGGUAAGGUAACGGCUAACCAAGGCAACGCUGCGUAGCCGACCUGAGAGGGUGAGCGGCCACCCUGGAAUUGAGCCACGGUCCAGACCCCUACGGGACGCAGCGGUAGGGAGUGUUCCACAAUGGGCGGAAGCCUGACGGAGCAACGCCGCGUGAGUGAUGAAGGUCUUCGGAUCGUAGAACUCUGUUAUUUGGGAAGAACAAAUGUGUAAGUAACUAGGCACGUCUUGACGGUACCUAAUCAGAAAGCCACGGCUAACUACGUG